UGGAUUGCGUGUGAGACGGCCGAUUCGC
rnacentral:sRNA from 1 species